ensembl:misc_RNA Y_RNA Y RNA
GGCUGGUCCAAAAUAGUGAGUUAUCUCACUUUACUGUUCACAAGUCAGUUACAGAUUGAAGUCCUUGUUCUACUCUUUUCCCCCACCUCCCUACUGCACUUGACUAGUCUUAA